rnacentral:rRNA from 1 species
CAGCCGCCGCGGGAAUACAGAGGGUGCGAGCGUUAAUCGGAUUUACUGGGCGUAAAGCGUGCGUAGGCGGCUUCUUAAGUCGGAUGUGAAAUCCCUGAGCUUAACUUAGGAAUUGCAUUCGAUACUGGGAAGCUAGAGUAUGGGAGAGGAUGGUAGAAUUCCAGGUGUAGCGGUGAAAUGCGUAGAGAUCUGGAGGAAUACCGAUGGCGAAGGCAGCCAUCUGGCCUAAUACUGACGCUGAGGUACGAAAGCAUGGGGAGCAAACAGGAUUAGAUACCCCUGUAGCCCUGUCUCUUAUACA